UUAAGUUAGAAAGGGCGCACGGUGAAUGCCUUGGCACUAGGAGCCGAUGAAGGACGGGACUAACACCGAUAUGCUUCGGGGAGCUGUAAGUGAGCUUUGAUCCGGAGAUUUCCGAAUGGGGAAACCCACUGUUCGUAAUGGAACAGUAUCUUUAUCUGAAUACAUAGGAUAUUGAAGGCAGACCCGGGGAACUGAAACAUCUAAGUACCCGGAGGAAGAGAAAGCAAAUGCGAUUUCCUGAGUAGCGGCGAGCGAAACGGAAUUAGCCCAAACCAAGAGGCUUGCCUCUUGGGGUUGUAGGACACUCUAUACGGAGUUACAAAGGAACGAAGUAAAUGAAGCGACCUGGAAAGGUCCGUCGAAGAAGGUAACAACCCUGUAGUUGAAACUUCGUUCCCUCUUGAGUGGAUCCUGAGUACGGCGGAACACGUGAAAUUCCGUCGGAAGCUGGGAGGACCAUCUCCCAAGGCUAAAUACUACCUAGUGACCGAUAGUGAACCAGUACCGUGAGGGAAAGGUGAAAAGCACCCCGGAAGGGGAGUGAAAGAGAUCCUGAAACCGUGUGCCUACAAGUAGUCAGAGCCCGUUAACGGGUGAUGGCGUGCCUUUUGUAGAAUGAACCGGCGAGUUACGAUCCCAUGCAAGGUUAAGCUGAUAAGGCGGAGCCGUAGCGAAAGCGAGUCUGAAUAGGGCGUUUAGUAUGUGGUUGUAGACCCGAAACCAGGUGAUCUACCCAUGUCCAGGGUGAAGUUCAGGUAACACUGAAUGGAGGCCCGAACCCACGCACGUUGAAAAGUGCGGGGAUGAGGUGUGGGUAGCGGAGAAAUUCCAAUCGAACCUGGAGAUAGCUGGUUCUCUCCGAAAUAGCUUUAGGGCUAGCCUCAUGUUGUGAGAGUCUUGGAGGUAGAGCACUGAUUGGACUAGGGGCCCCCAACGGGUUACCGAAUUCAGUCAAACUCCGAAUGCCAAAGACUUAUCCAUGGGAGUCAGACUGCGAGUGAUAAGAUCCGUAGUCAAAAGGGAAACAGCCCAGACCACCAGCUAAGGUCCCCAAGUAUACGUUAAGUGGAAAAGGAUGUGGAGUUGCUUAGACAACCAGGAUGUUGGCUUAGAAGCAGCCACCAUUUAAAGAGUGCGUAAUAGCUCACUGGUCGAGUGACUCUGCGCCGAAAAUGUACCGGGGCUAAACGUAUCACCGAAGCUGUGGAUUGACAUCUUUGAUGUCAGUGGUAGGAGAGCGUUCUAAGUGCAGCGAAGUCAGACCGUAAGGACUGGUGGAGCGCUUAGAAGUGAGAAUGCCGGUAUGAGUAGCGAAAGACAAGUGAGAAUCUUGUCCACCGAAUGCCUAAGGUUUCCUGAGGAAGGCUCGUCCGCUCAGGGUUAGUCGGGACCUAAGCCGAGGCUGAAAAGCGUAGGCGAUGGCCAACAGGUUGAUAUUCCUGUACCACCUCCCCGCCGUUUGAGUAAUGGGGGGACGCAGUAGGAUAGGGUAAGCGCGCUGCUGGAUAUGCGCGUUCAAGCAGUUAGGCUGAUGAGUAGGCAAAUCCGCUCAUCAUAAAGGCUGAGCUGUGAUGACGAGGGAAUUAUAGUACCGAAGUUCCUGAUUCCACACUGCCAAGAAAAGCCUCUAGCGAGGCGGGAGGUGCCCGUACCGCAAACCGACACAGGUAGGCGAGGAGAGAAUCCUAAGGUGAUCGAGAGAACUCUCGUUAAGGAACUCGGCAAAAUGACCCCGUAACUUCGGGAGAAGGGGUGCUCUGGUAGGGUGUAUAGCCCGAGAGAGCCGCAGUGAAUAGGCCCAGGCGACUGUUUAGCAAAAACACAGGUCUCUGCGAAGCCGCAAGGCGAAGUAUAGGGGCUGACGCCUGCCCGGUGCUGGAAGGUUAAGAGGAGGGGUUAUCCUUUGGGAGAAGCUCUGAAUCGAAGCCCCAGUAAACGGCGGCCGUAACUAUAACGGUCCUAAGGUAGCGAAAUUCCUUGUCGGGUAAGUUCCGACCCGCACGAAAGGCGUAACGAUCUGGGCACUGUCUCAACGAGAGACUCGGUGAAAUUAUAGUACCUGUGAAGAUGCAGGUUACCCGCGACAGGACGGAAAGACCCCGUGGAGCUUUACUGUAGCCUGAUAUUGAAUUUUGGUACAGCUUGUACAGGAUAGGUAGGAGCCUGAGAAGCCGGAGCGCUAGCUUCGGUGGAGGCGUCGGUGGGAUACUACCCUGGCUGUAUUGAAAUUCUAACCCGCGGCCCUGAUCGGGCCGGGAGACAGUGUCAGGUGGGCAGUUUGACUGGGGCGGUCGCCUCCUAAAAUGUAACGGAGGCGCCCAAAGGUUCCCUCAGAAUGGUUGGAAAUCAUUCGUAGAGUGUAAAGGCACAAGGGAGCUUGACUGCGAGACCUACAAGUCGAGCAGGGACGAAAGUCGGGCUUAGUGAUCCGGUGGUUCCGCAUGGAAGGGCCAUCGCUCAACGGAUAAAAGCUACCCCGGGGAUAACAGGCUUAUCUCCCCCAAGAGUCCACAUCGACGGGGAGGUUUGGCACCUCGAUGUCGGCUCAUCGCAUCCUGGGGCUGUAGUCGGUCCCAAGGGUUGGGCUGUUCGCCCAUUAAAGCGGUACGCGAGCUGGGUUCAGAACGUCGUGAGACAGUUCGGUCCCUAUCCGUCGUGGGCGUAGGAAAUUUGAGAGGAGCUGUCCUUAGUACGAGAGGACCGGGAUGGACACACCGCUGGUGUACCAGUUGUCUUGCCAAAGGCAUCGCUGGGUAGCUAUGUGUGGACGGGAUAAGUGCUGAAAGCAUCUAAGCAUGAAGCCCCCCUCAAGAUGAGAUUUCCCAUAGCGCAAGCUAGUAAGAUCCCUGAAAGAUGAUCAGGUUGAUAGGUCAGAGGUGGAAGCGUGGCGACAUGUGUAGCUGACUGAUACUAAUCGAUCGAGGACUUAACCAA
rnacentral:rRNA from 3 species